AGGAGUGGCUGUGGCCAAUUCUCAAUACACAAUACCACAGAUGUAGUAACAAAUGAUGAGUAUGCUCUUGAUUGAGUUGCAGCUCUGUCAUGCC